GAUAACAAGUAUAGGUUCAGAUUUGAUGGGUUAGUUCAAUGUUACUCGAUAAACUGAUUAUUUGUUUAUAGAAUAUGAAUAACGAUGAUAUAUGUAUAUAAACAAGACGUCACGGUUCAACUCGGUUCGAGUUUCCGGUUUGAGUUUGGGUAUGUUCUUGUUUCGGGUCAUGUUUCUCCGCCGCCAGAGGUCGGAGAACAACCGGAGUUACGACAGAAAUCGGUUCCUGCUGUUUCGGGCGUGGUUGAUCAAACUGUUAAACGAGUAAAUAACCUUACCGAGCAAAACCAAGGUCGUUAGAUUACUUGGAUUUGGAACUUGCUGUCUAAAGUAGCUGGAGUAGUCAUGGGUCGCGCUGAUUGGAUAUGAGUGAUGGGCUUAUUACAUACACUUAAUUUGAAACAGUUAAACUAUGAUUUCUUUUAUUUGCUUCCGCUGAACAUGUUGAUUUUCAUUUAAACUUGU